UAAUACCGCAUAAUGUCUACGGACCAAAGUGUGGGACCUUCGGGCCACAUGCUAUCGGAUGCACCUAUAUGGGAUUAGCUGGUUGGUGGGGUAAUGGCUCACCAAGGCGACGAUCCCUAGCUGGUUUGAGAGGAUGAUCAGCCACACUGGAACUGAGACACGGUCCAGACUCCUACGGGAGGCAGCAGUGGGGAAUAUUGGACAAUGGGCGCAAGCCUGAUCCAGCCAUGCCGCGUGUGUGAAGAAGGCCUUCGGGUUGUAAAGCACUUUCAGCGGGGAGGAAGGGGUUGUUGUUAAUAGCAACAAUCUUUGACGUUACCCGCAGAAGAAGCACCGGCUAAAUCCGUGCCAGCAGCCGCGGUAAUUCGGAGGGUGCAAGCGUUAAUCGGAAUUACUGGGCGUAAAGCGCACGUAGGCGGUAUGUUAAGUUGGAUGUGAAAGCCCCGGGCUCAACCUGGGAAUUGCAUUCAAAACUGGCAUGCUAGAGUAUGUGAGAGGGGGGUAGAAUUCCAAGUGUAGCGGUGAAAUGCGUAGA
rnacentral:rRNA from 1 species